GACAGAGGGUGCUAGCGUUGUUCGGAAUUACUGGGCGUAAAGGGCGCGUAGGCGGCUCGUUUAGUCGGGUGUGAAAUCCCAAGGCUCAACCUUGGAACUGCAUUCGAUACUGGCGGGCUAGAGACCGGAAGAGGUGGGUGGAAUUCCACGUGUAGCAGUGAAAUGCGUAGAGAUGUGGAGGAACACCGAUGGCGAAGGCAGCCCCCUGGGUCAACACUGACGCUCAUGCACGAAAGCGUGGG
rnacentral:rRNA from 1 species